rnacentral:rRNA from 1 species
UACGGGGGGGGCUAGCGUUGUUCGGAAUUACUGGGCGUAAAGGGCGCGUAGGCGGCCUACUAAGUCGGACGUGAAAUCCCUCGGCUCAACCGGGGAACUGCGUCGGAUACUGGCAGACUCGAGUACCGGAGAGGAAGGUGGAAUUCCAGGUGUAGCGGUGAAAUGCGUAGAUAUCUGGAGGAACACCGGUGGCGAAGGCGGCAUCCUGGACCAACACUGACGCUGAUGAGCGAAAGCCAGGGGAGCAAACGGG